UACAGAGGGUGCAAGCGUUGUUCGGAAUUACUGGGCGUAAAGCGCGUGUAGGUGGCGACGUAAGUCGGAUGUGAAAUCCCUCGGCUUAACCGAGGAAGUGCAUCCGAUACUGCAUUGCUUGAGUACUGGAGGGGAUGGCGGAAUUCCCGGUGUAGAGGUGAAAUUCGUAGAUAUCGGGAGGAACACCUGUGGCGAAGGCGGCCAUCUGGACAGUCACUGACACUGAGACGCGAAAGCGUGGGUAGCAAACAGG
rnacentral:rRNA from 1 species